AUUGAACGCUGGCGGCAGGCCUAACACAUGCAAGUCGAACGAGUGGCGGACGGGUGAGUAAUGUCUGUGACACUGCCCGAUGGAGGGGGAUAACUACUCGAAACUGUAGCUAAUACCGCAUAGCAUCGGAGGUGCCCAGAUGGGUUUAGCUAGUGGGUGGGGUAACGGCUCACCUAGGCGACGAUCCCUAGCUGGUCGGAGAGGAUGACCAGCCACACUGGAACUGAGACACGGUCCAGACUCCUACGGGAGGCAGCAGUGGGGAAUAGUGGACAAUGGGCGAAAGCCUGAUCCAGCCAUGCCGCGUGUAUGAAGAAGGCCUUCGGGUUGUAAAGUACUUUCAGCGGGGAGGCGUUACUCGCAGAAGAAGCACCGGCUAACUACGUGCCAGCAGCCGCGGUAAUUC
rnacentral:rRNA from 1 species